rnacentral:rRNA from 1 species
AUGAAGAGUGACUGCAAAAACAAGAUUUUCUGUGUGGUAUGCCAGAGGCCAUCUCACAAUACUAAAGAAUGUACUGUGUUGAAACAAGUCAAACCAGUUGCCAAGUAUGUCAGGGGUUUGGGAUGCCUUUUGGUUCAGAACACUAAGGAUAUUGUAGCUGCUGAACACAUAAAUCCCAUGGCUUUGGUUACUGUGCAUGAAGGACAGUUGAAUGAUACCACUGUGGCCUAUGGUUUCAGCAAGAUGUUUGACUGGGGGUGGACUUGGAGAGCCAAAUUUCAGAGCCCAAAAACUUUCCCGAUGAGAUUUCCCAGUAAGGCCAAGCUGGUGGAGCUUAAAAACUUUGGCAAGUUCACCCUGCUUGGCAUAGGAGCUAUGGUGGAGGUGGAUUUUUGGAGUCCUGAUGAUAAAAGCAAAAGGGAAACUUCACUCAUUUUGGAUUAA